rnacentral:ncRNA from 1 species
CCCCCUUCCGAGGGGAGCCCUUCAGGGGCUGAGAGUUCGCGACAUGCGGAGACCCUAGAACCUGAUCCGGCUCGUACCGGCGAAGGGACAGGAGACAAAGCAAUGC